CGCGUAGGCGGACUGUCAAGUCGGAAGUGAAAACCGGAGGCUUAACCUCAGGCUUGCUUUCGAUACUGUCAGUCUUGAGUACAGGAGAGGAAAGCGGAAUUCCAGGUGUAGCGGUGAAAUGCGUAGAUAUCUGGAAGAACACCAGUAGCGAAGGCGGCUUUCUGGUCUGAUACUGACGCUAAAGCGCGAAGGCUAGGGGAGCAAACA
rnacentral:rRNA from 1 species